GCCCAGGAGGUGAACGCACACCAAAAUGCAAAUUUGGAGACGCACCCCAAAAGGUGCCGGGGCUUCUCCCGUUUUAAAAGAGACGGGAGAAGA
rnacentral:tRNA from 1 species